rnacentral:rRNA from 1 species
GUACUGUGCGCAGCUGAUGCAGCCUGCCGCGUGAGUGAUGAAGGCCUUCGGGUUGUAAAGCUCUUUUACCCGGGAUGAUAAUGACAGUACCGGGAGAAUAAGCCCCGGCUAACUCCGUGCCAGCAGCCGCGGUAAUCGUAUGUGCCAGCAGACGCGGUAAUAA